CUCGCAAUAAAGCUAGAGGCUAAGGCUAAAAACCCCAAAACCGAAAAGCAAGCCACUGCACACAAGCUAUAAUCAAUCCCCAAGUCCAUUUUCAAGGGAAAAAAGUACACAAAAGUUAGGCAUUUUGCAAAGAUUUUCAAGAUUCUUCUUUCUCUAUCUCUCUUUCUCUCCCUCUCUCUCUCUCAUACAGAGCCACUCUUGCCCAUCAUUGAUUGAAAAGACAAAAAAAUUUCACACACAAGUCAAUCAAAAUAGACUGUAUCUUACAAUUUAAUGGCACUCUCUAUCUUCCACACGGAUCAGUCGAAAGCAAAUCAGACUCACAUUCCAAGCUUUUCUAUCUAUCUUAUUAUGAUGGUGAUGAUGGUCAUGAUGAAGUGGAUCUGUGUCCUAGCCUCAGCUCUAGAUCAAGUUCUCCAUUUCCCAAGUCCUUGAACAUGUUGUUGCUAUUGUCAAAAGAGGCUGCGGGUUCAGCUUUGCUAGAGUAAAAAUGAGUAGAAUUUAUCACUGGUGUUGCUACUGGAUAAUUAAGAGAUUGCCCAAUCAAGUUGUUGUGGGGACAUGGUGAGAUAGAGAGAAGAGUAGAAGGUGAGUCAAUAGCACAUGCAUUCAUAACUGAGGGAUUGAAAACCCCAUUAGGGUUAGGUAA
rnacentral:misc_RNA from 1 species